CACACGUUUUUUCUUAGCGAAGGCGAUUUACAUUGAAUUUUACAUCGUGUAAAACGCUAGCCUUUCUUUUACGAUGAUAAGCAUGUUCUUUUCAACGACUACUGUAGAGUGUUUAUAUGGGCAAGUAGUAGGGUUUUAGGAGAAAGACUAGCUAAUGAGUCAAAUGGCUAAUUAUGGACGGACCCUAUCCAAUAGCAAUUUUCCAACAAAUAACAUUAUUUUUCAGCACACUAAUAGAUUGUCGCAAUUUUUCAUAUUUUUUUUCCUUUCAUAAAUCCAACUACGUUUUGACGAAAGUGUAUAAUUGAUAAGUAAUUCGUGUUGAAGCUAAAGCGUUAAAGGUAAAGAAAAUAGAAGGACCACGAUCGAAUUGCUCAAUUGUUGAAUCUAGUUUCGCUCCCGCCUCCAUUCGGGCAAAUCUCAGAAUGGGGCAAAGUUCAAAGAAGAAGAAGAGGAAGAGUGGUGGAUUGGGGCGGCGCAACAAGUCAUCCAAAUCCAAAGAUCACAAUUCGAUUGGUGACGGUAAUUCUGAAUUGCUUGCCGAAGAGGUCACUGCAUUGUGUGCCAUAUUUCAAGAAGAUUGUGAAGUUGUUUCAGAGUCACCUUCACAGCUUCAUAUCAAGCUCAGGCCUUACUCAAAGGAUGCUGGCUAUGAAGAUUCAGAUGUGUCAGCUCUUCUUUCAGUGAGGUGUUUGCCUGGGUAUCCAUACAAGACCCCAAAGCUUCAGAUAAUACCAGAGAAAGGCUUAUCCAAAGCUGAUGCUAACAACCUUUUGUCUUUGCUUUAUGAUCAGGCCAGCUCCAACGCUCGAGAAGGGCGUGUAAUGAUCUACAAUUUGGUUGAAGCUGCUCAAGAAUUCUUGUCUGAAAUUGUUCCACAGGAGCAUUUGCAUGGAUCGGUUUCAUGCCAGUCGACCGAUAUUACCAGCCAAUUGACUUAUAAGGAUGCGUCAGCUUCAUCUGGCGAUACCUGUUCUUUUGGUGGACCAUUUGUGUAUGGCUUUUUAGAUCUUUUUAGUGGCUCAGGUGAGUCAUGGCAUUGGAGUCUGGGAAUGAAUGAUACUGGUCGCAUAGACUCUUUGGUGCAGCCCCAUGUAUCAGAAGGUCUCAAACAUGAAUAUGACAAUCAGCAAAAGAAAAUUGACCAAAUUGUGAAGCCAGCAUUGAAUGAAGCAGCAAAGCAAGACUCUUUGCGUAAGGCUGAAAUGAAAUUGGAUGAUCUUGAAGAAGAGAGUGUAGGCGAGAGUAAAAGUUGUAGUGAUUUGAGCAAAAGUUAUACGGAUGAAUCAACUGAAGACCAUGUCAUGUGCAAGAAUAUUUUUUUGGAAGGGAAUAUAUCAGACAGUGGUGAUGCUCAGUGGGAAACUGAACCUAAACCUUCAGAACUGGUGUCCUCUGGAUCUCUGGUCCAGGACCAUUUACCCCACACUCUAGAAAAAGACCUCAUUCUGGCACACUUGCUUCGGCUUGCCUGCGGCCCUAAAGGACCGCUAUCUGAUGCUUUGCCAGAAAUAACAUCAGAGCUCUUUGACCUUGGGAUCGUCUCCAAACGUGUACAAGAUUUGGCAAGCAAACCUUCUUCAUUUUUUGAUGGGACUUUUGAUCGUGUUUUUCAAGCACAUAAGGUGUCAUCAAAGCUCUCACAAUUUUGGAAAGCUUCAUCUGAAUUUGAAGGGCAGAAUUCUUCACCUCCUCAAAACUCUCGUUAUUUGAAUGACUUUGAGGAGCUCCAACCCCUAGGUCAGGGUGGGUUUGGUCACGUUGUGUUGUGCAAGAAUAAGCUUGAUGGGAGGCAAUAUGCAGUGAAGAAGAUUCGAUUAAAGGACAAGAGUCUGCCUGUAAAUGACCGUAUAUUGAGGGAAGUUGCCACACUUUCGCGGUUGCAGCAUCAACAUGUUGUUCGCUAUUACCAGGCAUGGUUUGAAACAGGCAUCACUCUAUCUUGCGAUGAUUCCAGCUGCGGUUCCAGAACUGUUGUGAGCUCUAGUUUCACCUAUGUGGAUGGAAGUAUGUCGGACCACCUUGGACAGGAGAAUAAGCUCGAGUUGACUUACCUAUAUAUCCAAAUGGAAUACUGCCCAAGGACGCUCCGUCAAAUGUUUGAAUCAUAUAGCAAUUUAGACAAGGAACUUGCAUGGCAUUUAUUCCGCCAAAUUGUAGAAGGCUUGGCACAUAUCCAUGGACAAGGCAUUAUUCAUCGUGACUUGACACCUAAUAAUAUAUUUUUUGACGCUCGCAAUGACAUUAAAAUCGGGGAUUUUGGUCUAGCCAAAUUCUUGAAACUAGAGCAGCUGGACCAGGAUGUAGAUGCUGCCGAGAUGAUAGGAGUUUCUGUUGAUGGAACUGGCCAAGUUGGUACAUAUUUCUAUACUGCACCUGAAAUAGAACAAAGGUGGCCCAAGAUCAAUGAGAAGGCUGAUAUGUACAGCUUAGGAGUUGUUUUCUUCGAGUUGUGGCAUCCUUUUGACACUGCAAUGGAGCGACAUAUUGUUCUUUCUGAUUUAAAACAAAAAGGAGAGGUUCCUCCUGCUUGGGCUGCCGAAUUUCCAGAGCAGGCAUCCUUGUUAAGGCGCUUAAUGACCCCAAGUCCGUCUGACCGUCCAUCAGCCGUCGAACUUCUUCAAAAUGACUUUCCUCCUCGAAUGGAGUAUGAGAUGUUGGAUAAUAUUCUUAGGACAGUUCACAUUUCAGAUGACACUGGUGUUUAUGAUAAAAUUGUAAAUGCCAUUUUCAAUGAAGACACGUUAAACACAAAAGGCCAUAACACGAAUCUUGAAAGUUCGAAGGUGGUUGGAAGGGAUACCUCAUGUAUUCUGUUCACUGAUCUACAGACUGAAAGGCGCGAUAAUGUCGUCGAGAUUUCCACAGAAGUAUUCAGACGACAUUGUGCAAAGCAUUUGGAGAUCAUACCCAUGCGAAUGCUUGGUGAAUGUCCACAGGAGAAUAGUCGAGAAAGAAGUGCUGUUAAGCUUUUGACUCAUGGAGGAGACGUGGUUGAGCUUUGCCAUGAACUUCGACUUCCUUUUGUGAAAUGGAUAAUUGCCAAUCGGAGAUCAUUCUUUAAACGCUAUGAAAUAUCAUAUGUAUACCGGCGAGCGAUUGGCCAUUCACCCCCAAACCGAUAUCUGCAGGGGGACUUCGAUAUUAUUGGAGGGGAAACAGCUUUAACUGAGUCAGAAAUAAUUAAGGCCACAAUGGACAUUAUUCUUCAUUACUUCCAUUCUGAAUCAUGUGAUAUUCAUUUGAAUCAUGCGGAUCUUUUGGACGCAAUUUGGGCUUGGGCAGGAAUCAGACCAGAACACAGACAAAAAGUUGCAGAGCUUCUUUCCCUUUUGGGUUCCUUGCGCCCUCAAUCUUCUGAAAGAAAGACGAAAUGGGUGGUCAUCAGGCGACAACUUCGACAGGAACUCAAUCUUGCAGAAACUGCUGUAAAUAGAUUACAAACAGUGGGGUUGAGGUUCUGUGGAGUUGCAGACCAUGCUCUUCCUCGAUUAAGGGGAGCUCUUCCUCCUGACAAAACCACCCGCAAGGCACUUGACGAUUUGUCAGAACUUUUUAACUACCUACGAGUUUGGAGACUUGAUCAACGUGUCUAUAUAGAUGCCCUUAUGCCACCAACUGAGAGUUACCACAGGAAGUUGUUUUUCCAGAUAUAUUUAAGAAAGGAUGACCAUCUUGGAUCACUAAUGGAAGGAACAUUGCUUGCGGUAGGUGGUCGAUACGACUACCUGCUCCACCAAAGUGGGGAUUCGGAAUGUUUGAUUAACAUAUUCUGCAGCCAAAUUAUGUUAAACAGAAUAAGCUGGAGGAAGUGGUGUCAUCAAAUCAAAUCCUCCUGGAGCUGCAGGGAGCAGUCUUGCCUUAGAGACGAUUUUGCAACAUGCUUCUUCUCUAGAGAUAUGAUGUUGUCACUAAUGUUCUUGUUUGUUCAAGAGGAGGGGGUGGUCUAUUAAUAGAGCGGAUGGAACUAUUGGCAGAGCUUUGGGAGGAAAAUAUCAGGGCUGAAUUUGUUCCUCUAUGCGAUCCAAGCCUCACGGAACAGUAUGAAUAUGCUAAUGAGCAUGACAUUAAAUGCCUUGUCAUCAUCACUGACACUGGUGUAUCCCAAAAGGACUCAGUGAAGGUCCGACAUCUUGAGCUCAAGAAGGAAAAAGAAGUGGAGAGAGGAAACCUCGUCAAGUUUCUACUAGAGGCAAUGUCAUCUCAGUUUAGAAACCCAUCCAUCUGGAACUAGGCUCUGUUCAAGCUCACAUUUCCAGGUAACUGAUGGGCUUGUCAGGCCUAGCAAGAGAUAAAGGGAACUAUCUGCCUAAUGGUCUUCCACACUUUAAGAUCAACAGAACUGUUGUGGGAGAGCUGGGGCAUCCUUGCCAAUGUGUCAACUCAGAUGGUAGAUAUUACUGAAUGACACAUUGGAACAUGAAGUCAGUUUAACCAAAUGACAAGUAGGUGCGAAAUGAUAUUAGUGAUUUGUACGGUAAUAAAUGCAACAGGGAUGGAAGAACUAAAUGCAAGGCGAUAUCAUUUGUCGUCAUACCUGCUGGAUGAAGUGAAUGCCGUUGCACACUUGAAUGGCAGUAGAACUUGAGAUUGUUGUUCUCCGGAAUCCUCCGCAUCCUUGAGAGAUGGGGCAACUGUUGCACUUGAACCUUGGUUGGCCAGCUACUGGUCUUGCAGUUGCACUGCCCCAUGCGCUAGGACGGCAAACUUACGUUUAAAAGGUGUUUCAUUAUGCACAAGAAGUUCCAGUUGACCAAGGGCUUUUUGGAAUCUAAAAGUUGCUGGUAGUUCCCUAGUAUCUCUUCUCAAUUUUUUUUGCCAUUAAAAAAAAUCAGCUUUUCAUUUUCUGUGGCAUAAAGUAGAGAGUGCUUACUGCAAAAUUCUUCUUUAGAUUUAUGAUUGAGAUAUUUUCGAAUAUGGAAAUCAGAUUUUUGUUGUCAUGCACUUGAUCUGAUGAUGCUCAGUGAAGGUGUAAUUUUGUUGAUUGAGUUGUCUAAGGUCAUGUUUGGCAUCCUUAUGUCAACUCAUUGCUUCAACAUUCUUGAAAACUAACUCUUCAUUCCUGGGGUAACCUUUUUUAUAUGACAAAGAUCAACACCAGUAACUGCGUUCAUCUACCUAAUAACUGCUCAGUGCUUGAAAUGUACCUGAGGAGGAAUCAUGUUGACUUCGUUCCCCCUAUUCAUGUCAGAAUUUGUGUGCUAUGCUGCAGCUAAACCACUUAAAGCAUCUUCCAACUUGUUUCAUGUUCCUUCUCAUCAACAUUAUUGAACGAGCCUACAGUUCACAGUGGGGGCAACCAGGCUGGGAAAGAGCCUACAGUAACUUUAAGCUUUUGAGAUUGUUACUUUGUUUGUAUGGACAAUUUUGGUAUAACUGAAUAUAUCAAAUGAUAUUCGAUUUUUGACGGAACUGUUAAGGAUAGCACUAGUUCUGCAUGAAGUAUUUUUUAUCCUCAUUCAUUGUAAAGGAAAACACUAACUCUUUCAUUUUUAUUUGAAUCAUGUCUUGAGGAAUAUGAAUAUCACGCAUUGCAUUAA